CCUAGAAUAAAUCUAAGGUGCAACCUGCCCAAUGAUCUUUAAUUAACUAAAUACAACCAUUUAUAAUAAGAUUUAAAGGACGCAGUAACCUGACUGUGAUAAUGUAGCAUAAUCACUCGCCAUUUAAUUGAUGGAUAGUAUGAAUGGUUUAACGAAUUCUUCACUGUCUUAAAAAAAGAAGUCAUGAAAUUAAAAUAAUAGUUAAGAUGCUAUUUAAAAUUGUAAGACGAAAAGACCCUAUAGAGCUUAACUAUAUUCUUUUUAAAAAACAAGAAAUAAAAAUUUCUAUAAAUAAAAAGAAAGGUAGUUUAGUUGGGGCGACUAUCUUCUAAAAAUAACGAAGACAAGCAAAAUUAAUAUUAAAUUUAUUGUAUAAUUCAUUAAUUUAACAAUUACAAAAGUAGGCUAUAAUGACCCGUUACAAUAAAAUGGAAUUGGUAACGAUUAAUAAAUAAAAGCUACCUUAGGGAUAACAGGAUAAUUUUAUUCUAGAGAUCCUAUCGAAAAUAAAGUUUGUCACCUCUAUGUUGAAUUAAGAUAUCCUGGUAAUGCAAAAGUUACCAAAGGUGGGUCUGUUCGACCCUUAAAAU
rnacentral:rRNA from 1 species